AUUCGAAGAAAGAAUGGAGAUUGGAGGAUAAAGAUUCAUACUUUUACUUUGUUGCUAUUGUUAGAGUCUCGACUUCAGAUCAUAGGCUUCUAUCAAGAUUACCGCAGUGCCAAGAUUUGGGAUUUGAUUAGUCUUCUGAAAACUUAUGAGAUCAUCGAGUUGAAGUGCUGAAGAGCAUGCCGAUCUACUGGAAGUAGUGUUUUGUCAGUUAAUAUCUGAAGCAAGAGGUUAUUUUGCAAUAUUUUGAACAUUUUGUUAUUGAUGGUGUUAAAGAUUUGUGA